AUCUUCCUAUGGAAAUUUACGAAUGACUCUUUGAUUCAUUAUUGGAUUUGGAUGUCAUAUAUUCCUUAAACACCUCUCCAUCAAACAGUGAGCUGUGCAGAUCAAACACUUUCAGUGGUAAUGAUAAGUGUAGAAAAACUCGGUUCAGUUCCGCCAUUGGUUUUGCGUACAACAUGUGGCCAAGAGAAACUUGAGCGCAUAGAAAUGAAAGAUUGUAGCCUUGCAACUUUCCUUUUGUGUGUCGUAAUAUGCUCCAGGAUUAGUUGCCGAUACAGCGAUGCCCCUCCUUUACCUGACCAACUAUGCACCACUCUUUAUUGUCUGAAAGUUGUAUCUUGACUAGAGCACAUAGAAAUUUAUUUCAUACUGUAACUUUUAUUUUGAAAAAACAACUUAUUUAUCACGAGAUAUGUCUCAGCCCUUAGUAAGUAAUUCGCAUUAAUUUCUUGCUCUUUUUUCACAAUUAUUGAAGUAAUUAAAAUAUCUAGAGACAUCUCUAUUCAAUGUUUGAUGUUUUCAGCUUCUAAUAUACUAUGACUCUAUUAUUUCAGCUCCUGAAUACUGAAAUUCCUAGCAAGUAGCUGAUGUUUUUCCUUAUUUUUUGGGUACUUCUUUGUGUCCGUGCUUGCUGUUUGACUGAUUUAGCAUCAAAUUUUGAAUAUAAUUGACUCAUGUUCUCUUCAUUAUUUUCCCUAAUAUAUAUGGUAUUUCUUUUAUAUUAUAGCAUCUGAACAGAAUCAGAAACUUUGAACUGGACUAACACACACAUGACAAUCAGUUUCCAGGUGAAGAAGCAGUUAUUCCGGAAUUUCAUGACUAUCACAUUAUUUGGUGCUUUUGGGACAAUGAUAUCCUUCUUCACGAUAUGUUACGGUUGAUCAAAACAAUUUCUUUAGAAGUUCCCACCAUGUAGUAUAAGAUGUUGUUAUGCCAGAGGGGUGACGCCACAUUUAUUAUUUUCUAUGAAGCGAUGACCACAUCAAAGAGGCUGCUUUGUGGGCACUUGUCUCCUUUAUAUGGGUAGUCAAUGAUGGCUAGAGUGUCGCCGCGGCUGGACGAGACCGCUUCUCCCAGAACAUUUCCACUGCAGUUGUUUGACAUGGGACUGGAGGUCUAGAAAAGCGCUUGAAAAGUUUGCCUUCGGGAUGGGUUGCCUCUGCCGAUAGGGAAAUUUCUGUGGAGAGAAUCAAGCUGCAAUUAUAUUGUCGUGAAGUGAUUUGGGGAAAGAGAGUUGUCACUUGUGGCAUGCGCCUGGGAGAAUUGGAGCAGCUGCCGAGCUACAUCA